GUACAUACAGCUCAGUGGUAGAGUGUGUGCUUAGCAAGCACAAGGACCUGGGUUCAAUCCCCAGUACCUUCA
rnacentral:tRNA from 1 species